GCCUUCGUGGUGUAGAGGUCAACACACUGAGCGCGUAUUCCAGAGGUCCGUGGUUCGAGUCCCAGCGAAGGCG
rfam:Stegodyphus mimosarum contig62270, whole genome shotgun sequence.